AGUGGCGGACGGGUGAGUAACGCGUGAGUAAUCUGCCUCAUACAGGAGAAUAACACUAAGAAAUUGGUGCUAAUACUCCAUAAGCUCACAUUAUGACAUCAUAGAGUGAGAAAAGAUUUAUCGGUAUGAGAGGAGCUCGCGUCUGAUUAGCUAGUUGGUGGGGUAACGGCCUACCAAGGCGACGAUCAGUAGCCGACCUGAGAGGGUGAUCGGCCACAUUGGAACUGAGACACGGUCCAAACUCCUACGGGAGGCAGCAGUGGGGAAUAUUGCACAAUGGGGGAAACCCUGAUGCAGCAACGCCGCGUGAAGGAAGAAGUAUUUCGGUAUGUAAACUUCUAUCGACAGGGAAGAAACAAAUGACGGUACCUGAAUAAGAAGCACCGGCUAAAUACGUGCCAGCAGCCGCGGUAAUACGUAUGGUGCAAGCGUUAUCCGGAUUUACUGGGUGUAAAGGGUGAGUAGGCGGUCAUGCAAGUCAUAUGUGAAAUGUCAGGGCUUAACCUUGGCGCUGCAUAAGAAACUGUAUGACUAGAGUGCAGGAGAGGUAAGCGGAAUUCCUAGUGUAGCGGUGAAAUGCGUAGAUAUUAGGAAGAACACCGGUGGCGAAGGCGGCUUACUGGACUGUUACUGACGCUGAGUCACGAAAGCGUGGGGAGCAAACAGG
rnacentral:rRNA from 1 species